AAGAGUUUAGAGACUUCGGUCUACUACUCCACCCUUUGUUUACAUACCAUUGUUGCUUUGGCAGGCCCGUCGAAAGGCAACCGGCUCCGGCUGGUCAGCGCCUGCCAGAGGACCCAAAACUCAUGUUUAUAUUAUUGUCUGAGUACUAUAUAAUAGUUA
rnacentral:misc_RNA from 1 species